UACGUAGGGUGCGAGCGUUAAUCGGAAUUACUGGGCGUAAAGCGUGCGCAGGCGGUUUUGUAAGCCAGAUGUGAAAGCCCCGGGCUCAACCUGGGAAUGGCAUUUGGGACUGCAAGGCUUGAGUGCGGCAGAGGAGACUGGAAUUCCUGGUGUAGCAGUGAAAUGCGUAGAUAUCAGGAGGAACACCGAUGGCGAAGGCAGGUCUCUGGGCUGAAACUGACGCUCAUGCACAAAAGCGUGGGGAGCAAACAGG
rnacentral:rRNA from 1 species